UCAGAUUGAACGCUGGCGGCAGGCCUAACACAUGCAAGUCGAACGGUAACAGAGAGCAGCUUGCUGCUCUGCUGACGAGUGGCGGACGGGUGAGUAAUGUCUGGGGAUCUGCCCGAUGGAGGGGGAUAACCACUGGAAACGGUGGCUAAUACCGCAUAACGUCGCAAGACCAAAGUGGGGGACCUUCGGGCCUCACACCAUCGGAUGAACCCAGAUGGGAUUAGCUAGUAGGUGGGGUAACGGCUCACCUAGGCGACGAUCCCUAGCUGGUCUGAGAGGAUGACCAGCCACACUGGAACUGAGACACGGUCCAGACUCCUACGGGAGGCAGCAGUGGGGAAUAUUGCACAAUGGGCGCAAGCCUGAUGCAGCCAUGCCGCGUGUAUGAAGAAGGCCUUCGGGUUGUAAAGUACUUUCAGCGGGGAGGAAGGGAUGAAGCUUAAUACGCUU
rnacentral:rRNA from 1 species